GGAUUGUGGCUUAAUGGUAGAGCGCUUGCCUAGCAUAUGUGAAGCACUGGGUUCCAUCAUUAGCAUCACAUAAAAAUAAAUAAAAUAAAAAUAUUGUGUCCAUCUACAACUAAAAAAAUACAUAAAAAGUGUUUUCUGGGCUGGGGUUGUGGCUCAGCAGUAGAGCCCUUGCCUAGCGUGUGCGAGGCCCUGGGUUCGAUCCUCAGCACCA
rnacentral:tRNA from 1 species